rnacentral:rRNA from 1 species
UACGUAGGGUGCGAGCGUUAAUCGGAAUUACUGGGCGUAAAGCGUGCGCAGGCGGUUCGUUAAGUCAGAUGUGAAAGCCCCGGGCUCAACCUGGGAACUGCAUUUGAAACUGGCGGGCUUGAGUGUGGCAGAGGGGGGUGAAAUUCCGCGUGUAGCAGUGAAAUGCGUAGAGAUGCGGAGGAACACCGAUGGCGAAGGCAGCCCCCUGGGCCAACACUGACGCUCAGGCACGAAAGCGUGGGGAGCAAACAGG